GACGAACGCUGGCGGCGUGCCUAAUACAUGCAAGUAGAACGCUGAAGAGAGGAGCUUGCUCUUCUUGGAUGAGUUGCGAACGGGUGAGUAACGCGUAGGUGACCUGCCUGGUAGCGGGGGAUAACUAUUGGAAACGAUAACUAAUACCGCAUAAGAGUAGAUGUUGCAUGACAUUUGCUUAAAAGGUGCAAUUGCAUCACUACCAGAUGGACCUGCGUUGUAUUAGCUAGUUGGUGAGGUAACGGCUCACCAAGGCGACGAUACAUAGCCGACCUGAGAGGGUGAUCGGCCACACUGGGACUGAGACACGGCCCAGACUCCUACGGGAGGCAGCAGUAGGGAAUCUUCGGCAAUGGACGGAAGUCUGACCGAGCAACGCCGCGUGAGUGAAGAAGGUUUUCGGAUCGUAAAGCUCUGUUGUAAGAGAAGAACGAGUGUGAGAGUGGAAAGUUCACACUGUGACGGUAUCUUACCAGAAAGGGACGGCUAACUACGUGCCAGCAGCCGCGGUAAUACGUAGGUCCCGAGCGUUGUCCGGAUUUAUUGGGCGUAAAGCGAGCGCAGGCGGUUAGAUAAGUCUGAAGUUAAAGGCUGUGGCUUAACCAUAGUACGCUUUGGAAACUGUUUAACUUGAGUGCAAGAGGGGAGAGUGGAAUUCCAUGUGUAGCGGUGAAAUGCGUAGAUAUAUGGAGGAACACCGGUGGCGAAAGCGGCUCUCUGGCUUGUAACUGACGCUGAGGCUCGAAAGCGUGGGGAGCAAACAGG
rnacentral:rRNA from 1 species